rnacentral:tRNA from 13 species
GACUCUGUGGCGCAACGGUAGCGCGUCUGACUCCAGAUCAGAAGGCCGCGUGUUCAAAUCACGUCCGGGUCA